GGAUAAUUGAAUAUCGGCCUUUUCGCGAAGUAUGGGAAUCCGGUGUGAUGCCGGAGCGACCACUGUCACCGUAACCGCGACGAAGCCGCGUAAGCCAUUGUCCGAAAGGAUGAGAAGGCGCGGCCGAGGAUGAACGGGAGCCGGGAAACCUGGCGCGGAGAGGAAACUGCC
rnacentral:ncRNA from 2 species